UUUAAAAACACCAUGUAACCGAAAUACAAGUUUUUAGCCCUUAAGUGUAAGUCUGUUUGCACUCUUCUUUUUUGUAAAAGAUGCAUGCUAGAGAUGCACAAUCUAGAGAUGCACAAUCAACCAGUUGCUGAUUUUUUUCAGAGGAUAUUCAUUCCAAACCUGUAACCAGAGACUGACCAAUUAUGCAUUAAUUAAUGCUACAUGCAAGAAGGGCACUGGUAAUAGCUGACAGAAUAGUCUGUAUGACCAUAUUGGCCGCUGAAAUUAAAGGUUGGCUUGAGAAAAUAAUGUUUUUUAUUAUAUAUAAUAUAAUAUAUUUAAUUUUAAAGCACUAAUUCACUAAGAAGCACCUGUACAUAAGUCUUUACUUUUAUUAGUUUAAAUGCAUCCUUUACUGAAAAAAAAAGAAAAAACCGUUCCGACCCCAAACUUUGGAAUGUUGGCAUAUAAUAUCGGUUUUCAAGAGCAUCUGUCACUGUAUUUUGCAUUAGGUGUCAGACUGCACAUACAUUUGACAAGACUGUCUGAUGACAGCUUUGUCAGUUUUCAGAGCUCACCAGAGAUACUGUAAUACACAGCGGUUCUGCAGUACUAGCAUAGUGAAGUCUUCUCUCAAAUACUCAGUUAUUGAUUUGAAUGAAUCAAAAGGGAAUCAAUGAUUCAACUGAAAUCAAUCAUUGAUGCAGGUGAUUGUUCACUGGAGCAGUUUUAAAGCUAGUAUUGAAUAAAGUACUGGAUAUAUUUCUCUUGGUUUUGAAUGUGUUUCUAGGCAGAGAGCUGCUGAACCCUCAUGGAGUUUACUAGUGUGUCAUGAUCUUUUUUUAGGAAUUAUUCAUGUCUGUUUUCAAUUAAAUGUUUAUAUUAUAGACGGAUAUCUGCAAAAAUGCUGAAUUUGGAACAGAAAUGGAGCACCUGACUUUCAUGCAGUUCUUCACAUGCCCUGCUUAGUAUGUAUUUGUUAUUAAAUAUUUUAAUUAAAAGUACAUUCACCCCAAACUGAAAAUUCAGUCAUUUAUUCAUCCUCAUAACAUUCUAAACCUUUUUUCAUAUUCAAAACACAAACGAAGAUUUGUUUUAUUCAAUGAAAGCCCAGUGCAAACAAAAUUUGGCUUUAUAAGUUGAACAUAAUUAAAUUAGGAUUUUAUUUAAAUAUAAACAUUGAUAAAUGCAAAUACAUAGAGAUCGAUCUUCAAAUAUAAUAAAGCUCAAACAUGCUUUCUUAAAGUGAGAACCAAUGAGUUUUGUUCUUGCAUGUUACACAAACAUUUCUGAGCUUCUGAAACAAAACAUUUAGUUGUGAGAACUUUCAAUGGAUGGACAAAAAUUAUGAGAAUAUUAAAAAAUAUUGUAAUAUGAAUGGUCGUAUUAUAGGUUUAGAAUGACAUGAGGAAUAAAUGUCAUUUCUGGGUGAAAAAGUCCUUAAUUUAGUGUAGUACUGUCACAUGUUAAAUUCAGUCCACCAAAUUUACAACUAAAUGUGAGAAAAGCCUGCAGAUAUAUAUUAAGUGAAAUAGCGUGUGACAGAAAACAAAGGACACAGAAGGAAAAUAACUUGUUACAUUAAAUAUUGGGAUGGACCUCACACACUCUAGACUGUUAUCUCAUUGUGUUUCACCGGACUUCCUGCUACUUCCUGUAUGUCCCAGAGCAGUCAUUCUUCUUUGUAUGAGUGCAUGUAGUUUGGGAACAGGGCAAAGGGCCAGUGGCGACCCUCUUGGGCUCAGCCCUCAUCAGCCCCUACUGGGCCUUCAGAGUCCCAAUACUUCACAAACAUCUUUUGAUUUAGAAUCAGAUGUUCAAUUUGAAAGGAGACCCCAAUAGAAGCUCCAUCCUCAGCUGGGCCACUGGGGCUGAGAUGUAGAGAAGAAGAGAAGUUCAUUAGCCGUCUCUCGAGCAGGUCAGAAGUUCUUCAGUAAGGACAUCACCCACAGAGGGACAGUGAGGAAGGAACCAUGUGAAAAAUCCCACAAUCUGUGCUACACUCUGAGUGGAAAUGUCUUGACAUUUAUAAUCAUUUGUAUUCGAGGCAUCCAGCCUAAAAUGUCUUGUGUUUUAUUUGAAAUAUAGAGAUUAAAGAAAAAAUUAUAAAACAUAUACAUCAGACAAAAUAAUAAUCUGGAGUACCAUUGAUGCUUAUAAUAAUCACAUUUUAUUCACUGCAAAUCUUCCAUUCUGUGAUAGUUACCACAUUUCAUUUGCACUUGUGUGUCAAUUCAAAACACUGCCAUCACUGACCUGUUGAACCUUGUGCUGUGUAAUGUUUCAAAGUGUAGUGGAGCAGUGGAGGGAAACAUUAUCAGCAAAUAAUGAUUUCUCACAGUUAUCGUACGGCAUCAGAAACAGGCUUUUAUGGUGCUUUUACAUCCUUUUUGGAUCCUGAUAGCCAUCACCAUUUGUUGUACUGUAUUAUAAAGAAAACAAUCUCCUUUUGUGUCCUAAAGACAAAUGUAUGGAAUGAGUUGAUGGUACAUAGAUGAUGACAGAAUUUAAAUUUCUAAGAUGAACUAUCCAUUUAGAAUUUGUUUAUAUAUUUUUUUUACAAUUUUCAAUUGUAUUGAGUGUGCACUUCAAAUCUUAAAAGUAGACUUAGUAAAAAUGGCUAAUUGUAAAUCAAUAUUUUAAUAAUCUUUUGUCAUUCUUUAAAUAAAUGUGCUGACUAACAUAAAACCUGUUUUCACCUCAGAAACUUUCCCCAGAAACUAGGGAUUUUGAGCCGGUACUCUGUCUUUCCUCCUUGGGAACCAGGACCCAAAUAAAGUUCCAGGAGUUCACUCUUCAGUUAAACUUGCAAAGUCCAAACUACAGAGUAUGUAAGCAUGGAAUUUGUGUACUUGGUAUUGAGAAAUGGCCCUGGCCUGGGAGGAGCAGUCGUGUGCAGUCCUACAUCACCAGACUGACUUAUUUGCCUAAUUUUCACGGUACUUUAGGCCACAAUGGAAACACAAGAAAGCAACAGGUCUGAGGGAAAAGAGUUCCUGGGAAAUAUGUCCAGGUGGCCCAGAGAGGCUGAUUAUACACACAUACACAGCCAAAUAAACACGCACUAUUGUACACAGUUCUACACAGGCUUCAGGAGGCGUGCGGGGGGCGUUUGUGUGUGUGCGGUGCAGGAAUGCUGGGAGUGAGGCAGAGAAGCACGGAGUCACAUCCCGGAUGGUCUGAGUGUGCAGGGAUGGGGGGGUUGGGUGGAUAAUGUCAUCAGAGCAGAAAGAAAGCGCAAGAGGACGGGUACAAAUGUUAUAAAAACAGAAGUUUCCAUCAGUACACUGGGACCCAGCUUCAAAAAGCAAACACAGCAUCCAGUGACAGGAAAUCACCCUUGCUCUCUCCAAAAGACAGAGACAGAGUGGAUGCAAGACUGAACACAACCUGGUAGUUUUCGGUCAGUUUCAGUUUAAACAAUAUUGGCCCACCGAUGUAGCUUACAUUUCAGCUUGGAAACAAGCCGAAUGUAUUUUCAGGUCCUGCAGUACAAACAGAAAGCAAGCUUACUCAUGUCAGUAUGUAGUGGUGAGCCUAAAUUGUCUGGUAGCAAAGAAAAUGUCACUCUUAGUGUAAUUGUAUGUUUAUGGUUUUGAAUCAUUGGUUUUAAGACUAUUAUAUAUACGCUGAGAAGCAGAAUUUUUACUGAGAGAUUUACUAUGUAUAUAGACUUUCAUAAGCACUUGACACGCGUUAAUAGAGUCAACAUUUAAUUGCAUGGUUGGAGACAGCAAACACACACACAUACAUUGCAGCUGGACUGUCAACAAACACAGAAAGGGUUUUCAAUGAUGGGACCACAUCCUCUCCAGCACUGCUGGCUGUUAUCUAACAAAACCAUGACAAGUAGUGACACAAAAGCACAAUAAAUGACAGACAUACUACAGUACAUUAUAUAACUUAAGGGAUUUCUGUCUGAAUUACAUACCCUCAUGUCAUUCCAAACCCAUUUGACUUAAAUUCUUCUGUGGAACACAAAAAGAUAUGUUUUCUUUGGGCAUGGGCUGCUAAAAAAAAAAAAAAAAAAAAAAAAAAACACGUGGCCACAAAUGAAAUGAUAAUGGGAACGGAUUCUUAAUUCUUUGUCACGAUUCUUAUUUACACAUUUCAUGUGUGGGAUGUACAAUAUAAUUUUGAUGCAAUAAAAAUUAAGAAGCUGA